UGAAUACGAGACGCUAAGGCGUCGAAGUAGUGUAUGUCAUACUUCCAAGAAAAGCUUGCACUGUCAUAGAUAAAAAACGCCUGUACCAUAACCGACACAGGUGGGUAGGUAGAGUAUACUAAGGGGCGCGAGAUAACUCUCUCUAAGGAACUCGGCAAAAUAACUCCGUAACUUCGGGAGAAGGAGUGCCUUAUUCGUAAGGUUGCAAUAACAAGAUCCAAGCAACUGUUUAUCAAAAACACAGGUCUCCGCUAAGUCGUAAGACGAUGUAUGGGGGCUGACGCCUGCCCAGUGCCAGAAGGUUAAAGAAGUUGGUUAGCAAUUGCGAAGCUGAUAACUGAAGCCCUGGUGAACGGCGGCCGUAACGAUAACGGUCCUAAGGUAGCGAAAUUCCUUGUCGGGUAAGUUCCGACCCGCACGAAAGGCGUAAUGAUUUGGAUACUGUCUCGGAGAGGGGCUCGGUGAAAUAGACUUGUCUGUGAAGAUGCGGACUACCUGCACCAGGACAGAAAGACCCUAUGAAGCUUUACUGUAACUUGAAAUUGAAAUUGGACUUUAUUCGCGCAGUAUAGGUGGGAGGCGUUGAUUAUAAUCUUGUGGGAUUAUUGGAGCCAUCAGUGAGAUACCACUCUUGUAAUGUUAGAUUUCUAACUUUGAAUCAUUAUCUGGUCAAAGAACAGUUUCAGGCGGGCAGUUUGACUGGGGCGGUCGCCUCCUAAACGGUAACGGAGGCGUACAAAGGUUUCCUCUGAACGGUUAGAAAUCGUAUCUAGAGUGUAAAGGCAUAAGGAAGCUUGACUGUGAGACCUACAAGUCGAGCAGGGACGAAAGUCGGUCUUAGUGAUCUGACGGUACUGAGUGGAAAGGCCGUCACUCAACGGAUAAAAGUUACUCUAAGGAUAACAGGCUGAUCUCCCCCAAGAGUUCACAUCGACGGGGAGGUUUGGCACCUCGAUGUCGGCUCAUCGCAUCCUGGGGCGGUAGUACGUCCCAAGGGUUGGGCUGUUCGCCCAUGAAAGCGGUACGCGAGCUGGGUUCAGAACGUCGUGAGACAGUUCGGUCCAUAUCCGGUGUAGGCGUUAGAAUAUUGAGAGGAGCCUUCUUUAGUACGAGAGGACCGAGAAGGACAUACCUCUGGUGUACCAGUUAUCGUGCCAACGGUAAACGCUGGGUAGCUAUGUAUGGAGUGGAUAACCGCUGAAAGCAUCUAAGUGGGAAGCCCACCUCAAGAUGAGUAUUCUCAU
rnacentral:rRNA from 1 species